GUGUCAGCAGCCGCGGUAAUACGUAGGUGGCAAACGUUGUCCGGAUUCACUGGGCGUAAAGCGCGCGCAGGCGGAUUGGUCAGUCUGGGGUGAAAUCUCUCGGCUCAACUGAGAGAGGUCCCUGGAUACUGCCAGUCUUGAGGGGCUCAGAGGAGAGUGGAAUUCCGCGUGUAGUGGUGGAAUGCGUAGAUACGCGGAGGAACACCAGUGGCGAAAGCGGCUCUCUGGGGGCCACCUGACGCUGAGGCGCGAAAGCGUGGGGAGCGAACCGGAUUAGAUACCCCCGUAGUCC
rnacentral:rRNA from 1 species